rnacentral:snRNA from 1 species
GGUUGUGAGGGAGAUCUGGCUGUGACAUCUGUCACCCCAUUGAAAGCAAGGGUUGAUUCAGCCAAAGGGGCUGGCUAGGCGGGUGUCCCCUUCCUCCCUCACUGCUCCCUGUGCAUCCCUCCUGACACAUGCUGCUUACUCUGGGAAGAGGAGGACCUUUCCCAAUAGAGAAGGGCUGUUCUUCGGUCAAGGGUAUAGGAGUAGCUGCAUUCCCCUGCUAAAAACGCCAAACGAGCUGCCCAGGUCCAUUUGUAGAAUGUCGUCAAACUUCCAAGACUCCAGACACAUCCAAAUAGGGUGCUGCAUGUGGCAGUCUGCCUUUCUUA